GGAUGCUCUGAAGACCUGCUCGCUAGGCCACGCACGGAGAACGCUUGUUUCUCAUGGGCCCCACGCCCGCCUAGGGGAAAGUCCCCGGACCGCCGGCAGAGAGUGCCGGGCGCUGCCCGCGCCCCCGCCUGCCCCCAUCUCACGCAUUCCCCGCCGAGACGCCCCCCGGGCCGAGCGGGUGAGCGCGGGGCGGGCUCUCGUCACGGCCACAGACACGCAGGUAGUGCGCAGGCGCACCAACAGAACGGGGCUCACUCUCAGGCCAUC
ensembl:ribozyme RNase_MRP RNase MRP